rnacentral:rRNA from 1 species
GCGUGUGGUUUAAUUCGUUGCUACACGAAGAACCUUUACCUGGGUUUGACAUAUAGGUUGUAGGGAACUGAAAGGGACCGACCCUUCGGGGAGCCUUAUACAGGUGUUGCAUUGGCUGUCGUCAGCUCGUGUCGUGAGAUUGUUCGGUUAAGUCCGCUAACGAGCGCAACCCUCGUCGUAUGUUAUAUGUGUCAUACGAGACUGCCGGUAAAAGCCGGAGGAAGGUGAGGAUGAUGUCAAGUCAGCAUGACCUUUAUAUCCAGGGCUACACACACGCUACAAUGGUCUGUACAAUGGGUAGCCAAGCCGCGAGGCGGAGCCAAUCCUGAAAGCAGGCCUCAGUUCAGAUUGCAGUCUGCAACUCGACUGCAUGAAGCCGGAGUUGCUAGUAACCGCAGGUCAGCAAUACUGCGGUGAAUACGUUCCCGGGUCUU